rnacentral:rRNA from 1 species
CAGCCGCCGCGGUAAUACGAAGGGUGCAAGCGUUACUCGGAAUUACUGGGCGUAAAGCGUGCGUAGGUGGUGGUUUAAGUCCGUUGUGAAAGCCCUGGGCUCAACCUGGGAAUUGCAGUGGAUACUGGGUCACUAGAGUGUGGUAGAGGAUAGUGGAAUUUCCGGUGUAGCAGUGAAAUGCGUAGAGAUCGGAAGGAACAUCUGUGGCGAAGGCGACUAUCUGGGCCAACACUGACGCUCAGGCACGAAAGCGUGGGGAGCAAACAGGAUUAGAUACCCGAGUAGUCCCUGUCUCUUAUAC